UGAGUGCGAGCGGCUACGGCCGCGAAGUGGGUGAUGUCAAGCUUCCAAGAAAAGCCCUAUACCCGUUAAGGCAUGAUGGCCUGUACCCGAAACCGACACAGGUGGGGUGGUAGAGAAUACCGAGGGGCGCGAGGUAACUCUCUCUAAGGAACUCGGCAAAAUGGCCCCGUAACUUCGGGAGAAGGGGUGCCACCGCAAGGUGGUCGCAGUGAAGAGGCCCAGGCGACUGUUUACCAAAAACACAGGUCUCCGCUAAGUCGCAAGACGAUGUAUGGGGGCUGACGCCUGCCCAGUGCCGGAAGGUUAAGGAAGCUGGUCAGCGCAAGCGAAGCUGGCGACUGAAGCCCCGGUGAACGGCGGCCGUAACUAUAACGGUCCUAAGGUAGCGAAAUUCCUUGUCGGGUAAGUUCCGACCCGCACGAAAGGCGUAACGAUCUGGGCGCUGUCUCGGAGAGAGGCUCGGCGAAAUAGAAUUGUCUGUGAAGAUGCGGACUACGUGCACCCGGACAGAAAGACCCUAUGAAGCUUUACUGUAGCUUGGUAUUGUGCCCGGGCUCUGAAUGCGCAGGAUAGGUGGGAGGCUUUGAUCCAUGGCUUGCGGGUCAUGGUGAGCCAACGGUGAGAUACCACUCUUUCAGAGCUAGGGUUCUAACGGUCACCCGUCAUCCGGGGACCGGACAGUAUCAGGUGGGCAGUUUGACUGGGGCGGUCGCCUCCUAAAAGGUAACGGAGGCGCGCAAAGGUUUGCUCAGGCUGGUUGGAAAUCAGCCGACGAGUGCAAAAGCAGAAGCAAGCUUGACUGUGAGACCUACAAGUCGAACGGGGACGAAAGUCGGCUUUAGUGAUCCGACGGUUCUGAGUGGAAGGGCCGUCGCUCAACGGAUAAAAGUUACUCUAAGGAUAACAGGCUGAUCUCCCCCAAGAGUUCACAUCGACGGGGAGGUUUGGCACCUCGAUGUCGGCUCAUCGCAACCUGGGGCUGAAGUCGGUCCCAAGGGUUGGGCUGUUCGCCCAUUAAAGCGGUACGCGAGCUGGGUUCAGAACGUCGUGAGACAGUUCGGUCCAUAUCCGGUGCACGCGCAGGAACAUUGAGAGGAUUUCUCCCUAGUACGAGAGGACCGGGAGGAACGCACCUCUGGUGUGCCAGUUAUCGUGCCAACGGUAAACGCUGGGUAGCCAUGUGCGGAGUGGAUAACCGCUGAAAGCAUCUAAGUGGGAAGCCCACCUCAAGAUGAGUGUUCCCAUGGCAUAAGCCAGUAAGGUCACGGGAAGAACACCCGUUGAUAGGCUCUACGUGGAAGCCGGGUAACCGGUGAAGCGGAGGAGUACUAAUAGACC
rnacentral:rRNA from 1 species